GAUGAACGCUGGCGGCGUGCCUAAUACAUGCAAGUCGAGCGAACGGACGAGAAGCUUGCUUCUCUGAUGUUAGCGGCGGACGGGUGAGUAACACGUGGAUAACCUACCUAUAAGACUGGGAUAACUUCGGGAAACCGGAGCUAAUACCGGAUGAUAUUUUGAACCGCAUGGUUCAAAAGUGAAAGACGGUCUUGCUGUCACUUAUAGAUGGAUCCGCGCUGCAUUAGCUAGUUGGUAAGGUAACGGCUUACCAAGGCAACGAUGCAUAGCCGACCUGAGAGGGUGAUCGGCCACACUGGAACGGAGACACGGUCCAGACUCCUACGGGAGGCAGCAGUAGGGAAUCUUCCACAAUGGGCGAAAGCCUGACGGAGCAACGCCGCGUGAGUGAUGAAGGUCUUCGGAUCGUAAAACUCUGUUAUUAGGGAAGAACAUAUGUGUAAGUAACUGUGCACAUCUUGACGGUACCUAAUCAGAAAGCCACGGAUAACUACGUG
rnacentral:rRNA from 1 species